GAUCUGUCUGUGACAUCUGUCAUCUCACUGAUUGCCAGGGUUGAUGUUGCUGAUGUGUCUAGAUAAACCAAUGUCCCCUUC
ensembl:misc_RNA 7SK 7SK RNA